rnacentral:rRNA from 1 species
CCUACGGGUGGCUGCAGUGGGGAAUAUUGGACAAUGGGGGGAACCCUGAUCCAGCCAUGCCGCGUGUGUGAAGAAGGCCCUCGGGUUGUAAAGCACUUUCAGUGAGGAAGAACGCCUGGUGGUGAAUACCCAUCAGGAAAGACAUCACUCACAGAAGAAGCACCGGCUAACUCCGUGCCAGCAGCCGCGGUAAUACGGAGGGUGCGAGCGUUAAUCGGAAUUACUGGGCGUAAAGCGCGCGUAGGUGGCUUGAUAAGCCGGUUGUGAAAGCCCCGGGCUCAACCUGGGAACGGCAUCCGGAACUGUCAAGCUAGAGUGCAGGAGAGGAAGGUAGAAUUCCCGGUGUAGCGGUGAAAUGCGUAGAGAUCGGGAGGAAUACCAGUGGCGAAGGCGGCCUUCUGGACUGACACUGACACUGAGGUGCGAAAGCGUGGGUAGCAAACAGGAUUAGAUACCCCAGUAGUC